GAUGAACGCUGGCGGCGUGCCUAAUACAUGCAAGUCGAGCGAACAGACGAGGAGCUUGCUCCUUCGACGUUAGCGGCGGACGGGUGAGUAACACGUAGGUAACCUACCUAUAAGACUGGGAUAACUUCGGGAAACCGGAGCUAAUACCGGAUAAUAUUUCGAACCGCAUGGUUCGAUAGUGAAAGAUGGCUUUGCUAUCACUUAUAGAUGGACCUGCGCCGUAUUAGCUAGUUGGUAAGGUAACGGCUUACCAAGGCAACGAUACGUAGCCGACCUGAGAGGGUGAUCGGCCACACUGGAACUGAGACACGGUCCAGACUCCUACGGGAGGCAGCAGUAGGGAAUCUUCCGCAAUGGGCGAAAGCCUGACGGAGCAACGCCGCGUGAGUGAUGAAGGUCUUCGGAUCGUAAAGCUCUGUUAUUAGGGAAGAACAGACGUGUAAGUAACUGUGCACGUCUUGACGGUACCUAAUCAGAAAGCCACGGCUAACUACGUG
rnacentral:rRNA from 1 species